rnacentral:snRNA from 1 species
AUCGCUUCUCGGCCUUUUGGCUAAGAUCAAGUGUAGUAUCUGUUCUUAUCAGUGAUCAUCCUGAUAAAUCUUAUACCCAUCAGACACCAUACAUAGAUAUUGGAAUAUUAUUGACUAUAU